rnacentral:rRNA from 1 species
GAUGAACGCUGGCGGCGUGCCUAAUACAUGCAAGUCGAGCGAACAGACGAGGAGCUUGCUCCUCUGACGCUAGCGGCGGACGGGUGAGUAACACGUGGAUAACCUACCUAUAAGACUGGGAUAACUUCGGGAAACCGGAGCUAAUACCGGAUAAUAUAUUGAACCGCAUGGUUCAAUAGUGAAAGACGGUUUUGCUGUCACUUAUAGCUGGAUCCGCGCCGCAUUAGCUAGUUGGUAAGGUAACGGCUUACCAAGGCGACGAUGCGUAGCCGACCUGAGAGGGUGAUCGGCCACACUGGAACUGAGACACGGUCCAGACUCCUACGGGAGGCAGCAGUAGGGAAUCUUCCGCAAUGGGCGAAAGCCUGACGGAGCAACGCCGCGUGAGUGAUGAAGGUCUUCGGAUCGUAAAACUCUGUUAUUAGGGAAGAACAAAUGUGUAAGUAACUAUGCACGUCUUGACGGUACCUAAUCAGAAAGCCACGGCUAACUACGUG